GGUAUGGGAUGAGCUUGCGUCCGAUUAGCUAGUUGGCAGGGCAACGGCCCACCAAGGCGACGAUCGGUAGCCGGCCUGAGAGGGUGAUCGGCCACAUUGGGACUGAGAUACGGCCCAGACUCCUACGGGAGGCAGCAGUAGGGAAUAUUGCACAAUGGGGGAAACCCUGAUGCAGCAACGCCACGUGUGGGAAGAAGCAUUUCGGUGUGUAAACCACUGUCGUGAGGGAAUAAGGCGUCUUCUCGGAGGCGUUGAAUGUACCUCGAAAGGAAGCACCGGCAAACUUCGUGCCAGCAGCCGCGGUAAUACGAGGGGUGCAAGCGUUGUUCGGAAUCACUGGGCGUAAAGGGAGCGUAGGCGGAGAUGCAAGCGGACUGUACAAUACCGGGGCCCAACCCCGGGCCUGCAGUUCGGACUGCACCUCUUGGAUAGUUCAGGGGCAGGC
rnacentral:rRNA from 1 species